rnacentral:snoRNA from 1 species
AAGCCAAGAUGUGGGCAUUGAGACCAAUAGUUUUUGAACCUCUCCCAUGCUUCACUAAAUCCCUCUAGGUGCUUCUGCUGAAAGCUAGAGAUCUCAUUCCUGAUCUU